AAAAAAUAGCGCCAGGACUAAGUAUUUAGUUGACGAGGACCAGACUUAUCGAAAGAUUCGGCGGGUAGUCUGGAGGUUGAUACAACCUUUAACGAUGGACAAAACCAAUGUGCGAACAUUGAACAAAGCCA
rnacentral:ncRNA from 1 species